UACGUAGGGGGCAAGCGUUGUCCGGAUUUAUUGGGCGUAAAGAGCGUGUAGGCGGCCAAACAGGUCAGCUGUGAAAACUCGAGGCUCAACCUCGAGACGUCGGUUGAAACCGUUUGGCUAGAGUCCGGAAGAGGAGAGUGGAAUUCCCGGUGUAGCGGUGAAAUGCGCAGAUAUCAGGAAGAACACCCGUGGCGAAAGCGGCUCUCUGGAACGGUACUGACGCUGAGACGCGAAAGCGUGGGGAGCGAACAGG
rnacentral:rRNA from 1 species